UACGUAGGUCCCGAGCGUUGUCCGGAUUUAUUGGGCGUAAAGCGAGCGCAGGUGGUUUAUUAAGUCUGGUGUAAAAGGCAGUGGCUCAACCAUUGUAUGCAUUGGAAACUGGUAGACUUGAGUGCAGGAGAGGAGAGUGGAAUUCCAUGUGUGGCGAUGAAAUGCGUAGAUAUAUGGAGGAACACCGGUGGCGAAAGCGGCUCUCUGGCCUGUAACUGACACUGAGGCUCGAAAGCGUGGGGAGCAAACAGG
rnacentral:rRNA from 1 species